ensembl:lncRNA
AAAAGACAGACACACCAAUGAACACAUCUUAUAUAUUGCAUUAAUCAGCUGUCUGGUCUUCCCGAAAGUCCUUCACUGUUCUGCUGGUGUAGCACACAGGGGUCCAAUGAGAGCUCCACUGGAAGAGGUGACCUUUUUGGCGGAAUAAGAUAGAGAGAGAAGAGGAGAGGGGAAUCAGGGAGAAUGGGGGACAAGGACAAAGAGCAGAGGAAUGCAUUUCCCAUAGCCUAGCUGACCUCUCAAGAGGACUGACUCUGAAUAAUUACAGUCCUGCUCACCUGCUUCCAGAAGGGGCAUGAGCAGACUAGGGAUGUCAGGAGAACCGAUACUUCGGUACCAAUUCGGUACCAACAUUCUUAAAACGUGACAGUACUUGUUUUUCUGCACUAACGUUGGAACCGAUUCUAAUAGAGGUACCAAGAUUACAAUUCUUCCGGACCUGAUCCAGGCAGCAAAUACGCGCAAGUGUUUUCGUCGGUCCACAAGUGGCAAAGAAGAAGAAGAACGCCCACAAGCACACGUAUCAGCCAGAGGAGCAUGA